ensembl:lncRNA
AGGACGCCAACUCAAGCGAGCUCAGCCGUUAAUCCCGCUGAAAUUUACUGCUGCGUGGACAGAGGAGGUGCACAUGCCCAACGUCAGGAAAGCAGCAUUAUGUAAAGGAAGAAAGCAAGGCAAGGGAUCCCAUUUGGCAGGUCUCCUGACACCUACAGGACACUGAAGCCAGGCCCUUCAACAGACGGCGGCAAGGCAGGUAGGAUUCAAACCUAAUAGAGACAAGAGAUAAGAUAAAUUUGCCACUUUAUUCCAUGAACUA